rnacentral:ncRNA from 25 species
GGGAAUGCAGUGCGAAUCUGCAACUGACGCGCAACGGUGACACGCUAUUUUGCGUUAAGUCCGGAUACC